GCAUAACACCACUUGAACAAAGAAAGGAGGGGGAAAUUGCACCACAUCAGUGAAGACCUGCUUUAAGGCUGUUCAGUUCUGCAAGAAAGGAAAGAGGAGGAAGAGACUGGCUCAAAUCUCUGGAGGACCCCCUGCGGUCAGCUGUGGGGCAUAACACCACUUGAACAAAGAAAGGAGGGGGAAAUUGCACCACAUCAGUGAAGAUCCACCUCCAGUGGCAGCUCUGGUGGUGCUGGAGUUGCUGCUGACCACCACCCUCAACAGGUCUGCACCCACCCAGGAACCAUUCAUCCUCCCCCAGCUUGGUUGUGCCUCUUCUCCACUAUAUCUAUAUAAUUGACUGAGACUGUGUUUGGUUAGGAGCCUGAUUGACUACUGGAUUGGCAAUUGACUCUAUAACUCUUAUUUCCAACUUUAUCUCCUGGAUCAUCAAAAGAUCAGUGUGUGAAGAUAAAAAUCUGUGACAGAUCUGUUGUCAAAUCUGGGACAGUGUUAAAGGUCCUUGAUCGAG
rnacentral:lncRNA from 1 species